UGAGGGGUAGCUCAGUGGUUAAGUUUUGGAUUUACUCUCCAAUGAUCACCAGUUCGAGUCUUCUCAG
rnacentral:tRNA from 1 species